rnacentral:lncRNA from 1 species
GGGGAUGAUCGGUAGAAGAUGUCUACUGAUUCGGGAUCGGUAUAAGGUCAAAAAUAAUAUCUGUUGGUUGUUAUAGAUGAAACUUAUGGUUGCCGAUGCUGAUGGAGAAGGACGUGGAGACUGCUGCUGAAGAGGGCAUGUGUGUGCUGAUGGGGUAGGAGCCGAUGAGGACUUAAGGCGGGAGCCGAUGAAGACUUUAUCGUAAUUAGGGCAG